rnacentral:rRNA from 1 species
UUAAGCGACUAAGCGUACACGGUGGAUGCCCUGGCAGUCAGAGGCGAUGAAGGACGUGCUAAUCUGCGAUAAGCGUCGGUAAGGUGAUAUGAACCGUUAUAACCGGCGAUUUCCGAAUGGGGAAACCCAGUGUGUUUCGACACACUAUCAUUAACUGAAUCCAUAGGUUAAUGAGGCGAACCGGGGGAACUGAAACAUCUAAGUACCCCGAGGAAAAGAAAUCAACCGAGAUUCCCCCAGUAGCGGCGAGCGAACGGGGAGCAGCCCAGAGCCUGAAUCAGUGUGUGUGUUAGUGGAAGCGUCUGGAAAGGCGCGCGAUACAGGGUGACAGCCCCGUACACAAAAAUGCACAUAUUGUGAGCUCGAUGAGUAGGGCGGGACACGUGGUAUCCUGUCUGAAUAUGGGGGACCAUCCUCCAAGGCUAAAUACUCCUGACUGACCGAUAGUGAACCAGUACCGUGAGGGAAAGGCGAAAAGAACCCCGGCGAGGGGAGUGAAAAAGAACCUGAAACCGUGUACGUACAAGCAGUGGGAGCACGCUUAGGCGUGUGACUGCGUACCUUUUGUAUAAUGGGUCAGCGACUUAUAUUCUGUAGCAAGGUUAACCGAAUAGGGGAGCCGAAGGGAAACCGAGUCUUAACUGGGCGUUAAGUUGCAGGGUAUAGACCCGAAACCCGGUGAUCUAGCCAUGGGCAGGUUGAAGGUUGGGUAACACUAACUGGAGGACCGAACCGACUAAUGUUGAAAAAUUAGCGGAUGACUUGUGGCUGGGGGUGAAAGGCCAAUCAAACCGGGAGAUAGCUGGUUCUCCCCGAAAGCUAUUUAGGUAGCGCCUCGUGAAUUCAUCUCCGGGGGUAGAGCACUGUUUCGGCAAGGGGGUCAUCCCGACUUACCAACCCGAUGCAAACUGCGAAUACCGGAGAAUGUUAUCACGGGAGACACACGGCGGGUGCUAACGUCCGUCGUGAAGAGGGAAACAACCCAGACCGCCAGCUAAGGUCCCAAAGUCAUGGUUAAGUGGGAAACGAUGUGGGAAGGCCCAGACAGCCAGGAUGUUGGCUUAGAAGCAGCCAUCAUUUAAAGAAAGCGUAAUAGCUCACUGGUCGAGUCGGCCUGCGCGGAAGAUGUAACGGGGCUAAACCAUGCACCGAAGCUGCGGCAGCGACGCUGAUGCGUUGUUGGGUAGGGGAGCGUUCUGUAAGCCUGUGAAGGUGUGCUGUGAGGCAUGCUGGAGGUAUCAGAAGUGCGAAUGCUGACAUAAGUAACGAUAAAGCGGGUGAAAAGCCCGCUCGCCGGAAGACCAAGGGUUCCUGUCCAACGUUAAUCGGGGCAGGGUGAGUCGACCCCUAAGGCGAGGCCGAAAGGCGUAGUCGAUGGGAAACAGGUUAAUAUUCCUGUACUUGGUGUUACUGCGAAGGGGGGACGGAGAAGGCUAUGUUGGCCGGGCGACGGUUGUCCCGGUUUAAGCGUGUAGGCUGGUUUUCCAGGCAAAUCCGGAAAAUCAAGGCUGAGGCGUGAUGACGAGGCACUACGGUGCUGAAGCAACAAAUGCCCUGCUUCCAGGAAAAGCCUCUAAGCAUCAGGUAACAUCAAAUCGUACCCCAAACCGACACAGGUGGUCAGGUAGAGAAUACCAAGGCGCUUGAGAGAACUCGGGUGAAGGAACUAGGCAAAAUGGUGCCGUAACUUCGGGAGAAGGCACGCUGAUAUGUAGGUGAAGUCCCUCGCGGAUGGAGCUGAAAUCAGUCGAAGAUACCAGCUGGCUGCAACUGUUUAUUAAAAACACAGCACUGUGCAAACACGAAAGUGGACGUAUACGGUGUGACGCCUGCCCGGUGCCGGAAGGUUAAUUGAUGGGGUCAGCGCAAGCGAAGCUCUUGAUCGAAGCCCCGGUAAACGGCGGCCGUAACUAUAACGGUCCUAAGGUAGCGAAAUUCCUUGUCGGGUAAGUUCCGACCUGCACGAAUGGCGUAAUGAUGGCCAGGCUGUCUCCACCCGAGACUCAGUGAAAUUGAACUCGCUGUGAAGAUGCAGUGUACCCGCGGCAAGACGGAAAGACCCCGUGAACCUUUACUAUAGCUUGACACUGAACAUUGAGCCUUGAUGUGUAGGAUAGGUGGGAGGCUUUGAAGUGUGGACGCCAGUCUGCAUGGAGCCGACCUUGAAAUACCACCCUUUAAUGUUUGAUGUUCUAACGUGGACCCGUGAUCCGGGUUGCGGACAGUGUCUGGUGGGUAGUUUGACUGGGGCGGUCUCCUCCUAAAGAGUAACGGAGGAGCACGAAGGUUGGCUAAUCCUGGUCGGACAUCAGGAGGUUAGUGCAAUGGCAUAAGCCAGCUUGACUGCGAGCGUGACGGCGCGAGCAGGUGCGAAAGCAGGUCAUAGUGAUCCGGUGGUUCUGAAUGGAAGGGCCAUCGCUCAACGGAUAAAAGGUACUCCGGGGAUAACAGGCUGAUACCGCCCAAGAGUUCAUAUCGACGGCGGUGUUUGGCACCUCGAUGUCGGCUCAUCACAUCCUGGGGCUGAAGUAGGUCCCAAGGGUAUGGCUGUUCGCCAUUUAAAGUGGUACGCGAGCUGGGUUUAGAACGUCGUGAGACAGUUCGGUCCCUAUCUGCCGUGGGCGCUGGAGAACUGAGGGGGGCUGCUCCUAGUACGAGAGGACCGGAGUGGACGCAUCACUGGUGUUCGGGUUGUCAUGCCAAUGGCACUGCCCGGUAGCUAAAUGCGGAAGAGAUAAGUGCUGAAAGCAUCUAAGCACGAAACUUGCCCCGAGAUGAGUUCUCCCUGACUCCUUGAGAGUCCUGAAGGAACGUUGAAGACGACGACGUUGAUAGGCCGGGUGUGUAAGCGCAGCGAUGCGUUGAGCUAACCGGUACUAAUGAACCGUGAGGCUUAACCUU